AGCCCCGUAGUGUAGCGGCCAAUCAUAGGGGACUCUGGAUCCUCUGACCCCAGUUCGAAUCUGGGCGGGGCUA
rnacentral:tRNA from 1 species